rnacentral:rRNA from 1 species
GAUGAACGCUGUCUACAGGCUUAACACAUGCAAGUCGAGGGGAAACGACGGGGAAGCUUGCUUCCCCGGGCGUCGACCGGCGCACGGGUGAGUAACGCGUAUCCAACCUGCCUCUGACUGAGGGAUAACCCGUCGAAAGUCGGCCUAAUACCUCAUGGCAUCGUCUGCGGGCAUCCAACGACGAUUAAAGAUUUCAUCGGUCAGGGAUGGGGAUGCGUCUGAUUAGCUUGUUGGCGGGGUAACGGCCCACCAAGGCUACGAUCAGUAGGGGUUCUGAGAGGAAGGUCCCCCACAUUGGAACGGAGACACGGUCCAAACUCCUACGGGAGGCAGCAGUGAGGAAUAUUGGUCAAUGGGCGGGAGCCUGAACCAGCCAAGUAGCGUGCAGGAUGACGGCCCUAUGGGUUGUAAACUGCUUUUAUGCGGGGAUAAAGUGAGGGACGUGUCCUUCAUUGCAGGUACCGCAUGAAUAAGGACCGGCUAAUUCCGUG